CUGAAAGAAGAAACUCUGCCAAGUCCACAUGGCAGACAAGGUUUUCCCAGCUUUCCAGCUGAGCAUUUUAGACUCCUGGCACUGCUGCUGUACUCUGGUGCAUUACUCAGCUUUUGUGCUGCCAGACUGAAAUGUCAAUGCAAGUAACUGUCAGCCUCCCAGGAGGUGAAAUGGAGAGCACCAUUCCCCCCUCCCUAGAGUCCAGAACACUCCUAAUGACUGCAACACCUCUGUCUGGCUCAGGACACACGAGACACGGAAGAAAGUGGAGUUGAAGCAGAAGACUGGUAAAGCAGUAUUACAGUAUCCCUGACUAAAAAGCACUCUUUUCCC
ensembl:lncRNA